GCCGAAGUGGCGGAACAGGCAGACGCGGUGGACUCAAAAUCCAUUGGGGCUUAUACCUCGUGAGGGUUCGACUCCCUCCUUCGGCA
rnacentral:tRNA from 1 species